rfam:Lupinus angustifolius cultivar Tanjil chromosome LG01, whole genome shotgun sequence.
GUUGCUUCUUAUGGUGAACUCUCUUUUAUUUGAAAUGGGGGAUGUUCUAGUUUCCGAAGCAUAUAUAAAUAUUUAAUAGCCAGUUUUAAACAGCGUUGUGUAAUUUUAUUUAACUUACACUUUGCUACCUGUCUGCUGGUACAAAC